GAUGAAGAACGUAGUGAAAUGCGAUAAGUAAUGUGAAUUGCAGAAUCCAGUGAAUCAUCGAAUCUUUGAACGCACAUUGCGCCCGCCAGUAUUCUGGCGGGCAUGCCUGUCCGAGCGUCAUUUCAACCAUCAAGCCCCAGGCUUGUGUUGGGGACCUGCGUCCGACGCAGGCCCUGAAAACCAGUGGCGGGCUCGCUGUCCACACCGAGCGUAGUAACUAACCUCGCUACGGGAGCGGCGCGGGCGCCUGCCGUAAAACCCCCAAUUUUCACAAGGUUGACCUCGGAUCAGGUAGGAAUACCCGCUGAACUUAAGCAUAUCAUAAGCGGAGGA
rnacentral:misc_RNA from 1 species